rnacentral:tRNA from 1 species
UAGCUCAGUGGUAGAGCACUUGCCUUGCAUGCAUGAGGUCCUGGGUUCGAUUCCUUA